rnacentral:misc_RNA from 1 species
GUGAAUAAACUUGUGUGGGUUGUUGCUGGCCUCCUCGGAGGUAUGUGCACGCCUGCCAUUGUUUCAUUCCCCUUCCACCUGUGCACUUUUUGUAGACCAGCUGUCACUUUUCGGGUUGCUUGCAUCCCGGUUAUGAGGAUUUGCUCCGGCUGUCCUUGGUAGGUGGCGGUCUAUGUCUUUUAUCAACUCUGUAUGUAACCGAAUGUUUGCUCUGGGUUCUAUACCCAUAAAAUCUAUA